UAAAUCUGUUGCAUAUUCCUGUUCGAGAUACAGUACCGUUCAGACGUGAAAUUAUAUGAUGGCCUCCUCCACCGGGAUCUUCGCUUAUUGGCUAUUCAUUGCCAUGACUCUGUUCAUCCUUCAAGGUGUCGUGGGGAGUCCGAUCGAUUUUUCGGAAGAUGAUUUACGUGCUGAACGAGAAGUAGGCGAUCCAACCGAUUACGAACGAGAGGAGCGUUUCUGGCGCCCCUUCAAAAAUUGGAUCUUGUUUGGCUAAUCGUUUAAAUGUUAUCCACCUGGAAUGCCAAGACUUUUGUUGGACAUUGCUAUUCGUGAUUUUGACGAUUCAAUCUGUUUGCUAAACUCUACUCAAUUUUUCCAAAUCUGGUAGGAUAUUGAACUCCUAUGCCCAUACAAUCAAUAAUACAUACACGCAAUUAUCAUUCAAAUAUACUACUGCUUCAACCCGCCUCCGAAUUAUCCCUUUUUUAACUUAGGCAGGUUAAAUAGCACAUUACAGCUUAGAAGUUAAUGUUAAAAGUUAAAUUUUCCAUCCAUAAGUGAGACCUUUAGCUUAAAUGUCACGAUCGGCAUCUAGUCAGCAUUUUUCAUUUUGGCUUCCUUCAAUGAUAAGAGAUAAUUUUAUUUCGAUAAGUAAAAGAUAUACAAACCGAAGCAAAAUUUAGCGGCCACUAUUUCCUCUUUAAACGGAGAAAUUCCAAAAUUCCAAAAUGGCACAAAUUUUCUUCGUAUUCUUGUUCAAAAUCCAGUACCGUUCAGACGUGAAAUUAUGAUGGCCUCCUCCAUCACCGGGAUCUUCGCUUAUUGGCUAUUCAUUGCAAUGACUCUGUUCAUCUUUCAAGGUGUCGUUGGGAGUCCGUUUGAUUUAACUGAAGGCGAAUUACGUGCUGAACGAGAAAUAGGCGAUCCAACCGAUUACCAACGAGAGGAGCGUUGGUGGCGCCACAUCAAAAAUUUCGCUGUAGGAUUUAUCGGCUAAUUGUUUCACGAAAAUGUUAUCCACCCGAUUUUCUCAAACGUUUGCACAUUGUUUUUCGAGAUUUGGACGAACCUAACAACUGUUUCCUAAACUUUCCCCAAUUUUCAAAAUCCGGAAGGAUAUUAAACUCGUAUAUGUAAGCUGUAAGCAUACAAUUACCAUUCCAAUAGACUACUGCUUCAACCCGCA